AGGAAUAUAGUUAAAAAUAACAUUUAAAUUGCAAUUAUAAAGUGUCAAUAGACUAUUCUUA
rnacentral:tRNA from 1 species